GGGGAAUUUUCCGCAAUGGGCGAAAGCCUGACGGAGCAAUGCCGCGUGGAGGAUGAAAGCCUAUGGGUUGUAAACUCCUUUUCUCAGAGAAGAAAUUUUGACGGUAUCUGAGGAAUAAGCAUCGGCUAACUCCGUGCCAGCAGCCGCGGUAAUACGGGGGAUGCAAGUGUUAUCCGGAAUAAUUGGGCGUAAAGCGUCUGUAGGUGGUUUACCAAGUCUGUUGUUAAAAAUCAGGGCUCAACCCUGAUCCGGCAACAGAAACUAGUAGACUUGAGUACGGUAGGGGCAGAGGGAAUUCUCGGUGUAGUGGUGAAAUACGUAGAUAUCGAGAAGAACACCAAUAGCGAAAGCACUCUGCUGGGCCGAAACUGACAUUGAGAGACGAAAGCUAGGGGAGCAAAAGAGAUUAGAUACCCCUGUAGUCA
rnacentral:rRNA from 1 species